GCUUUUGGUUUGCCUCAUCCAUUAUGUCAGCAAAGAACAGGAGUGGGCAGGAAACAUGGCCAACCAACUGGAGCACCCACAAGGCUCUUGUGAAGGAAGUCCACAAGCCUUUGUGCUUCAGGAUGGAUGGAAAGAACUCUUUGAUCAACCCCCAAAGAGAGCUGAGGUGGCUAUCUUUUGGAGACACCCCCGGCUGGUAGUGCUGCUGAAACUGGUGGAGGCAACAAUGAAGUGGCAACAGAAAGAGAAGGCAGGUGGCAAAGGUUGCUGCUAUUGAAAAAUACUUUGAGAGUGAGUGUGUGUGCAUGUAUGUAGCUGGGUAGGUCAUGGUACAUGGUACAAAAAUACAGAAUUUAAAGCACUAGCACAACACUUAACUCACAACCCACAACUACUGACAAUGGAAUUACUCUUUUAGAGUGAGUGAGGGAGAGAGAUAGAAUAUUUCUGUAAAUGUUUAAUGUUAAUUUAGACAAAUGUAUUUCUUUGAAUCAUUAUACAGUUUUAAAAUGUUUAUUGUUUGUGUUUUUGUAUAUGAAAGAUGUCGAUUGUUGUAGAUAAAAGUAGCUUGUAUAUUUUAAC